rnacentral:rRNA from 1 species
ACACCGGCAGCCCGAGUGGUGGCCACUAUUAUUGGGCCUAAAGCGUCCGUAGCCGGUCCGGUAAGUCCCUGUGGAAAUCCUCAGGCUCAACCUGAGGAAAUGCGGGGAUACUGCCGGACUCGGGGCCGGGAGACGCGGAGGGUACUCCAGGGGUAGCGGUGAAAUGCUGUAAUCCCUGGGGGACCACCAGUGGCGAAGGCGCUCCGCGAGAACGGGCCCGACGGUGAGGGACGAAAGCCAGGGGAGCGAACGGGAUUAGAAACCCUAGUAGUCC